AAAUUGAAGAGUUUGAUCAUGGCUCAGAUUGAACGCUGGCGGCAGGCCUAACACAUGCAAGUCGAACGGUAACAGGAAGCAGCUUGCUGUUUCGCUGACGAGUGGCGGACGGGUGAGUAAUGUCUGGGAAACUGCCUGAUGGAGGGGGAUAACUACUGGAAACGGUGGCUAAUACCGCAUAACGUCGCAAGACCAAAGAGGGGGACCUUCGGGCCUCUUGCCAUCAGAUGUGCCCAGAUGGGAUUAGCUUGUUGGUGAGGUAACGGCUCACCAAGGCGACGAUCCCUAGCUGGUCUGAGAGGAUGACCAGCCACACUGGAACUGAGACACGGUCCAGACUCCUACGGGAGGCAGCAGUGGGGAAUAUUGCACAAUGGGCGCAAGCCUGAUGCAGCCAUGCCGCGUGUAUGAAGAAGGCCUUCGGGUUGUAAAGUACUUUCAGCGGGGAGGAAGGUGUUGUGGUUAAUAACCGCAGCAAUUGACGUUACCCGCAGAA
rnacentral:rRNA from 1 species